GCUUGAGCAGAUUGAAACAUUGCUGCUGCUGCUGAAUUAAAUUGCUGGGAGCUCAAUACAGUGUAGAUCUUUUCAUGUUUUAACAUUUGGAGGCUGUCCCAGGACCCCAUGGGGGUUAUGGUAGAAAUGGUGGGAUGGUGGGUUGUGCAAUAGAAUAUGGGUCAGAUAGAGAUUUGACAUCAUGACAGUGGAGGUGAAGCAAACAAUUCAAUCGGGAUUGAGUGCCUGUGUUGUGGAUUGGAGUAUUGUGUUUGGCAUCUCAUGUUUGGCAGUCUCCUCCACAGUCCUAAGGAGGACACACUGCUGGAUCCAGCAAACAACAUUCACGUUUUCUGGGCACAGAAUGCAUUUCUGGCCCAAGUCCGGGCAAAUCUGGACAUACUCACUGAUGGAUGGAUCAACCAUUCACCCAGAAUAGAAUGUAACUACACCCUAAACCAGCUGUGGGAAACUUGGUAGAGUCAGAAUCCUGUCAACCCCCCUGGGAGCACUGAGCAGACAACAGAAUGAAUUCCCUCAACAGAGUCUACUCUUCAGCAGAUGUCCAGACUGUCACGGUUCAUUUUAUCAUAAUUGGUAGUUCCACCUCAGGGGAAGAGAAAAACAUGAAGGAGCUCACCCUGACUCCUGGGAGCUUUACCUCAUCACUCACAUUGGUUUCACCUGCUUGUACUCGGAGGAAUUCCCUGUAUCCAGUGACAUCACCAGCUGACGUCAACCGGGGUACACCUCAUGGAUACAGGCUUUCUGAAUCCAUCACUCCCUCAUCUGAGUUUCCUGAAGAAAUAAACUUUG